CUCAGAUUGAACGCUGGCGGCAUGCCUUACACAUGCAAGUCGAACGGCAGCACGGGGAGCUUGCUCCUGGUGGCGAGUGGCGAACGGGUGAGUAAUACAUCGGAACGUACCCUGAAGUGGGGGAUAACGUAGCGAAAGUUACGCUAAUACCGCAUAUUCUGUGAGCAGGAAAGCAGGGGACCGCAAGGCCUUGCGCUCUUUGAGCGGCCGAUGUCAGAUUAGCUAGUUGGUGAGGUAACGGCUUACCAAGGCGACGAUCUGUAGCGGGUCUGAGAGGAUGAUCCGCCACACUGGAACUGAGACACGGUCCAGACUCCUACGGGAGGCAGCAGUGGGGAAUUUUGGACAAUGGGCGCAAGCCUGAUCCAGCCAUGCCGCGUGAGUGAAGAAGGCCUUCGGGUUGUAAAGCUCUUUCGGCCGGGAAGAAAUCGCAUGGGUUAAUACCCUGUGUGGAUGACGGUACCGGAAUAAGAAGCACCGGCUAACUACGUG
rnacentral:rRNA from 1 species